rnacentral:rRNA from 1 species
AACGAACGCUGGCGGCAUGCCUAACACAUGCAAGUCGAACGAGACCUUCGGGUCUUGUGGCGCACGGGUGCGUAACGCGUGGGAACCUGCCCUUAGGUUCGGAAUAACUCCCCGAGAGGGGUGCUAAUACCGGAUAAUGUCUUCGGACCAAAGAUUUAUUGCCUUUGGAUGGGCCCGCGUGAGAUUAGCUGGUUGGUAGGGUAAAAGCCUACCAAGGCGACGAUCCAUAGCUGGUCUGAGAGGAUGAUCAGCCACACUGGGACUGAGACACGGCCCAGAAUCGUACGGAAGGCAGCAGUGGGGAAUAUUGGACGAUGAGCGCAAGCGUGAUACAGCAAUGCCGCGUAAGUGAUGAAGGCCUUAGGGUUGUAAAGCUCUUUUAGCCGGGAUGAUAAUGACGGUACCGGGAGAAUAAGCUCCGGCUAACCACGUG